rnacentral:rRNA from 1 species
CUACGGAGGGUGCAAGCGUUACUCGGAAUCACUGGGCGUAAAGCGCGCGCAGGCGGCUAUUUAAGUUGGAUGUGAAAGCCUACGGCUCAACCGUAGAACUGCAUCCAAAACUAUUUAGCUAGAGUGUGAGAGAGGAAGAUGGAAUUAGUUGUGUAGGGGUAAAAUCCGUAGAGAUAACUAGGAAUACCAAAAGCGAAGGCAAUCUUCUGGAACACUACUGACGCUGAGGCGCGAAAGCGUGGGGAGCAAACGGGAUUAGAUACCCUAGUAGUCC